rnacentral:rRNA from 1 species
UCGACUUGGAGGUUGUUCCCCUUGAGGAGUGGCUUUCCGGAGCUAACGCGUUAAGUCGACCGCCUGGGGAGUACGGCCGCAAGGUUAAAACUCAAAUGAAUUGACGGGGGCCCGCACAAGCGGUGGAGCAUGUGGUUUAAUUCGAUGCAACGCGAAGAACCUUACCUGGUCUUGACAUCCACAGAAUCUUGCAGAGAUGCGAGAGUGCCUUCGGGAACUGUGAGACAGGUGCUGCAUGGCUGUCGUCAGCUCGUGUUGUGAAAUGUUGGGUUAAGUCCCGCAACGAGCGCAACCCUUAUCCUUUGUUGCCAGCGGUUCGGCCGGGAACUCAAAGGAGACUGCCAGUGAUAAACUGGAGGAAGGUGGGGAUGACGUCAAGUCAUCAUGGCCCUUACGAGUAGGGCUACACACGUGCUACAAUGGCGCAUACAAAGAGAAGCGACCUCGCGAGAGCAAGCGGACCUCAUAAAGUGCGUCGUAGUCCGGAUCGGAGUCUGCAACUCGACUCCGUGAAGUCGGAAUCGCUAGUAAUCGUAGAUCAGAAUGCUACGGUGAAUACGUUCCCGGGCCU